UGUAUCUCAGUGGUAGAGGGUUUGCCUAGCAUACAUAAUGCCCUGGGUUCGAUUUCCAGCA
rnacentral:tRNA from 1 species